rnacentral:lncRNA from 1 species
UUCAAAAAGCUAACCUAGACCUAAAGAAAGAUUAUUAUUUGUGAUUAUUUUCAAUUUGUAUAUUUUUGUCUUGGGUUGUUUGGAACUAUUUUAUUAGAAAUCACUAAAUUUUUGAAUUUUACCUGUGACUAGGGAACAUUGUUAUAUUAAGUCUUGGUAUGAAACAAUGUUAAGACAAUACUGUGUGCUUUUUCAGUCCUAUGAAAGAAAAUGUUUUGGAUGUAACAGAGAAGUACUACAACUUUGUUAUGAAGAUUUGUCUUUAUGUUAUUUUUAUAAUGUUCAUGGAUUAUAUUUGUUUUUAUGUUUUCUUCAGUUUAAAUAAAGUUUAUGUUUUACCCA